GACGAACGCUGGCGGCGUGCUUAACACAUGCAAGUCGAACGGAAAGCCCUGCUUUUGUGGGGUGCCCGAGGGGCGAAAGGGGUAGUAAAACGUGAAUAACCUGCCCUUGACUUUGGGAUAACUUCAGGAAACCGGGGCUAAUACCGGAUAGGAGCUCCUGCUGCAUGGUGGGGGUUGGAAAGUUUCGGCGGUUGGGGAUGGACUCGCGGCUUAUCAGCUUGUUGGUGGGGUAGUGGCUUACCAAGGCUUUGACGGGUAGCCGGCCUGAGAGGGUGACCGGCCACAUUGGGACUGAGAUACGGCCCAGACUCCUACGGGAGGCAGCAGUGGGGAAUAUUGCACAAUGGGCGGAAGCCUGAUGCAGCAACGCCGCGUGCGGGAUGACGGCCUUCGGGUUGUAAACCGCUUUCGCCUGUGACGAAGCGUGAGUGACGGUAAUGGGUAAAGAAGCACCGGCUAACUACG
rnacentral:rRNA from 1 species